UACGGGGGGGGCAAGCGUUGUUCGGAAUUACUGGGCGUAAAGGGCUCGUAGGUGGUCAACUAAGUCGGACGUGAAAUCCCUCGGCUUAACCGGGGAACUGCGUCCGAUACUGGAUGACUUGAGUUCGGGAGAGGGAUGCGGAAUUCCAGGUGUAGCGGUGAAAUGCGUAGAUAUCUGGAGGAACACCCGUGGCGAAGGCGGCCAUCUGGACCAGCACUGACGCUGAGGCACGAAAGCGUGGGGAGCAAACAGG
rnacentral:rRNA from 1 species